rnacentral:rRNA from 1 species
AAAUUGAAGAGUUUGAUCAUGGCUCAGAUUGAACGCUGGCGGCAGGCCUAACACAUGCAAGUCGAACGGUAGCACAGAGAGCUUGCUCUCGGGUGACGAGUGGCGGACGGGUGAGUAAUGUCUGGGAAACUGCCCGAUGGAGGGGGAUAACUACUGGAAACGGUAGCUAAUACCGCAUAACGUCGCAAGACCAAAGUGGGGGACCUUCGGGCCUCACACCAUCGGAUGUGCCCAGAUGGGAUUAGCUAGUAGGUGGGGUAACGGCUCACCUAGGCGACGAUCCCUAGCUGGUCUGAGAGGAUGACCAGCCACACUGGAACUGAGACACGGUCCAGACUCCUACGGGAGGCAGCAGUGGGGAAUAUUGCACAAUGGGCGCAAGCCUGAUGCAGCCAUGCCGCGUGUAUGAAGAAGGCCUUCGGGU